rnacentral:rRNA from 1 species
UACAUUAGCAUGGAUAAUGAAAUAGGACGUUCGAUCCUAUUUUGUUGGUUUCUUAGGAUUGACGUAAUGAUUAAUAGGGAUAUUGGGGGCGAUUAGUAUUCAAUUGUCAGAGGUGAAAUUCUUUGGAUUUAUUGAAGACUAACUACUGCGAAAAGCAUUUUGCCAAGGAUGUUUUCAUUAAUCAAGAACGAAAGUUAGGGGAUCGAAGACGAUCAGAUACCGUCGUAGUCUUAACCAUAAACUAUGCCGACUAGGGAUCGGAUGAUGUUAAUUUUUUAAUGACUCAUUCGGCGCCUUACG